AAUUAAUUCAUUUUAAUUCGAGCUUAUAUAAGUAAUUAGAUUAUUUUACACAUCAAAAUGAUUAAUCAAAUUAAUAUUACAAUUUAACCAUUUAUAUUUACUCUUUUAUUUUUAUAUUUUACGACUGAGAUAUCCCACAAUCUCAACAAAGAUGUGUAGUCUGAUCGAGAGUAUUAAGCUAGUAUCUGCAUCAUUCUCUACAGAGCUUCAUCGUCAUCUGUGUCCAGCUCAAGGCCUUCUGCAGCCAAAAGCUGAUUAAUAACUUUUUUCUUCUCUUCCUCUGCUUUCUUCCGCAUCAAGUCCCUCUUCUUUAAGACAAGUGUAUGCCGCCUGAGAGUAUUGGUAUAAUACUCUGCAGACGCUUUUUUCUCUCUUGCUAGGAUUCUUCUCUCUUCUUCUGGGUCGAUCUUUGAACGAGAAAGACGGCGCGCACGGAGAUUCAUCUCACGCUGCUGUUGUUCAGCCCAUGCGGCAAUGGCCAUAUCACCCCGUUGAUCAAAAGCUUUUCGCUUUUUCAUAAGCCACUCCAUCCAUGCUUGUGAUGCCUUCAUUGGAUUGACCCUGUGAUCCAUAUCAUAUUGUCUCCGUUUCUCAUCAUCCAUGAGCAACUCAUAUGCAGCUUGAAUCUUAAUGAAUCUAGCUUCAGCUGUUUCUCCUUCCUCAAGAGUCCCUCUGCCAUCAUAGACUUUCACAUAGGAAGUAAAUAAAUAGGUGAAUUCAAAAAUGCACUUAAGAAAAUAACCAAACGCAAGAUAAAAGGAAUUGCGUUGCAGAAAUUACCCUAUAGCUAAUUACAAAAUCUAAGGAGUCCAAAAAAACCUGAUAGAGCCAUACAAUGCUCAAGAAAAAACACAACAACCUGAGAUAUUAUAGCAUCCACAAGAAGAUCAUGCUUGCUCAGAUUCUAACCCAUUCAAUAUCAUAAUUACUCCCAAACUUUUGAAAGAAAAGAAAUAUCAUAAGAAUCUGCACAAUACAGAUUAUAAAAUCUGUCCUGAAUUUUCUAAUGGUUCAUUUACACACAGUAACUGGAUGAUUUGCAGAACCAAGAUGUCCCUUGGUCAGUUUAGUUUCAUUAUGCACCCUGUUUAUUCAAUCAUUUUUGAAAUUAUAGAAUAUUAACGAAAAGAGAAGGUGAAAUAAAGCAGUAGGAAAUCAUAUGAUCCUGAACCUUACCUAUAGUCAUAUUUCAUAAGCUAGUGUGAAAGUCAAGGUGAUUGACCAAUAGCAUUUACCAUUCUUUAUUUUUUGGCAAAAGAUUGAAGAGAGGAGGAGACAUAAUAGAGAACCUAACAAAAUCCAUAAAGCUGAAAUCCCUAUAAUCGCAAAACCGUCUGUUAGUACUUGGUAGUCGGUAUAAUCUAUCAUCUGGUUAUAAUGCUAGAAAGGAAUGUAGAAUAAUGGUUAGGACUCACAAACACCAGGGAGAUUACGAAUGUCUGAGUUGGAAUGACACUACGGUAGGAAAUUUAUUCUAUCCUAAAAGCCGCAGACAAUGUUCAUAGUACUACCUGAAAAUUCAUGGAUAAAGACGAAGGAAACUAACCAUCUGGAUGAUAAUAUUUGGCCAAGCGUCUGUAAGCAACCUUAAUCUCCUCUUCAUCCGCACCCCUUUCCAACUCAAGAGUUUCAUAUGGAGAUUUCUGAUCGGUCCAACUAGAAGCCCUAACCACAGUUCUCCUCUGGUUAACGCGAAACCACGUGUCAUUUCCAUGGAGCCAAGGAGAGAAAAGAGACGGCGGCGAUAACGGAGGCUUAAAGUCAGGGUUCCGAAAUGAAACCCUAACUCUGGAUCGAGCUUGGUGCCUACAACACAAGAAGGACGUGAACACAGUAUGCGGCCUACAGAUUGUUCUCAAAUUGCUCAUUUUUCCUGCUAGAUUGCUUUAUUUUUUUUUUUUGAAAGAAAAAUCAAUUGAAGCUUCAACAGCUCAACAGCCGGGGAGAAAGAGGUGCAAGAUUAGGGUUUUCUGAUCUAAUUUUUCCAG
rnacentral:misc_RNA from 1 species